rnacentral:rRNA from 1 species
AUUGAACGCUGGCGGCAUGACUUACACAUGCAAGUCGAACGGCAGCGAUGGAAGAGCUUGCUCUUCUGAUGGCGAGUGGCGAACGGGUGAGUAAAGCAUCGGAACGUACCGUGUAGUGGGGAUAACGUAGCGAAAGUUACGCUAAUACCGCAUACGCACUGAGGUGGAAAGCAGGGGAUCGCAAGACCUUGCGCUAUACGAGCGGCCGAUGUCAGAUUAGCUAGUUGGUAGGGUAAAGGCCUACCAAGGCGACGAUCUGUAGCGGGUCUGAGAGGAUGAUCCGCCACACUGGGACUGAGACACGGCCCAGACUCCUACGGGAGGCAGCAGUGGGGAAUUUUGGACAAUGGGCGAAAGCCUGAUCCAGCCAUGCCGCGUGAGUGAAGAAGGCCUUCGGGUUGUAAAGCUCUUUCGGCUGGGAAGAAAUCGCACAGGCUAAUACUCUGUGUGGAUGACGGUACCAGCACAAGAAGCACCGGCUAACUACGUG